rnacentral:rRNA from 1 species
UACGUAGGGGGCAAGCGUUGUCCGGAUUUAUUGGGCGUAAAGAGCGUGUAGGCGGCUUUGCAAGUCCGUUGUGAAAACUCGAGGCUCAACCUCGAGAUGUCGGCGGAAACCGUCUGGCUAGAGUCCGGAAGAGGAGAGUGGAAUUCCUGGUGUAGCGGUGAAAUGCGCAGAUAUCAGGAAGAACACCUAUGGCGAAGGCAGCUCUCUGGGACGGUACUGACGCUGAGACGCGAAAGCGUGGGGAGCGAACAGG